CGCCCGCCUCAGCCUCCCAAAGUGCUGGGAUUACAGGCAUGAGCCACAGGACCCGACCAGGAUAAUGUAUCUUUCUUUUCAGUAAUGUCCCUUUCGAAG
rnacentral:miRNA from 1 species